UUUCGUGUUCUGUCAUUUCUUUUAGAUUGUGGGGAAAAGUGUUCUCGUAGUUUGUUUAUCCGACUACCAUGAUUUGUUUCCUAACGUCGUUCCAUUUUUUUGGGAAGCAUGCUAUCAAUAGCUUACACAUGUGAAUCGAAUGACUCACUGUGGUCGUUCUUCCUUUAGUACUAGUGAUGGGCUAAACUGCGAUUUCCCGAUAUCAGUGAUUUCUGUAAAUGAUACUUUUCAGUAUCUGCUAUUCUUAACUGUGAUUUGUCGCAGUUAAGAGUCGCCGUUAAGGAACGUAGGUCGCGUAUCCCUCCGCCACUGCUAUUUCUGCUACUUCCGCGAUUUCUGUGACUUCUGCUACUUUUGCGAUUUCUGUGACUUCUGCGAUUUCUGUGACUUCUGCGAUUUCUGCGACUUACCACCGUAUGAAAAAGUUACAUGUGCCCACACAGAAAAUUGCUUCUCAACAAAUCUGUCAUUGGCAAGUACCCGAACUACAUUUCAGUCACUCAGUAAAUUGAUAACUCAAAAUAUGAUUGUCAACAGAUCUGGAGAAAUUGCCACUGCGUCUUUAGACCGUUUUCGUCAGACUAGAGACACAGUUCUGAGUCUUGAUUACUGGUUGCUGUACGUAUCUAUCCACAUCAAGGCUAUUGAGAGAGACUCAUGAAGAUUCAAGACAGCUCUUAGAGGGUUUGCAGUUUAAAAGUGACAUAAUUGUGAAAUAAGUGUGCAGAUGAGCGAUUAAACUGUGUUUUAUUGAAGUUGUUAUGCGAUUUUA